rnacentral:RNase_P_RNA from 1 species
GGGUGAAACGGUGGGGUAAGAGCCCACCAGCGAUCGUGGCGACACGAUCGGCUCGCCAAACCCCGUCCGGUGCAAGGCGAAGCAGGUCCCGUCGACGCGGCCCGCCGAGGGACCGGGUACGCCGCACAGAGAGAUGGUCAUCCUCGACAGAAUCCGGCUUACAGGCCUGCUACGGAA